AUUGAACGCUGGCGGCAGGCUUAACACAUGCAAGUCGAACGGUAGCAGGAGAAAGCUUGCUUUCUUGCUGACGAGUGGCGGACGGGUGAGUAAUGCUUGGGAAUCUGGCUUAUGGAGGGGGAUAACUACGGGAAACUGUAGCUAAUACCGCGUAAUAUCUUCGGAUUAAAGAAUGGGACUUUUAGCCAUUCGCCAUAAGAUGAGCCCAAGUGGGAUUAGGUAGUUGGUGGGGUAAAGGCCUACCAAGCCGACGAUCUCUAGCUGGUCUGAGAGGAUGACCAGCCACACUGGAACUGAGACACGGUCCAGACUCCUACGGGAGGCAGCAGUGGGGAAUAUUGCGCAAUGGGGGCAAGCCUGACGCAGCCAUGCCGCGUGAAUGAAGAAGGCCUUCGGGUUGUAAAGUUCUGUCGGUGGUGAGGAAGGCUAAUAUGUUAAUAGCAUAUUAGAUUGACGUUAGCCACAGAAGAAGCACCGGCUAACUCCGUG
rnacentral:rRNA from 1 species